rnacentral:misc_RNA from 1 species
GAUGAAGAACGUAGCGCAAUGCGAUAAGUAAUGUGAAUUGCAGAAUUCAGUGAAUCAUCGAAUCUUUGAACGCACAUUGCGCCCGCCAGUAUUCUGGCGGGCAUGCCUGUUCGAGCGUCAUUUCAACCAUCAAGCCCUGCUUGCGUUGGGGUCCUGCGGCUGCCCGCAGGCCCUGAAAACCAGUGGCGGGCUCGCUAGUCACACCGAGCGCAGUAAUACAUCUCGCUUUGGGCGUGCGGCGGGUUCUUGCCGUUAAACACCCCCUUUUUACCAAGGUUGACCUCGGAUCAGGUAGGAAUACCGGCUGAACUUAAGCAUAUCAAUAAGCGGAGGA